CACUGAGCUAUAGAUUAAAAAGGAAAGAAAGUAAAUGUUAGCCAUCUUGAAUUGUGCGACAAAGCAUGCCAGAUGAACACUCAACCCUUUGUAAAGGAGAUACUGAUUUCUGAGCAGCAGAAAACCAUUAUAUCAAAGUCAGGUCUCCAGGAGCCUGCAGAAAAUGAGGCCGGAAGAAUCGUUCCUGAAUUGGUUCAUUUUCAUCACCACUGUCCCUUGAGCGAGAUCGUGGUCUUAAAAUAACAUGAAAUAAAGAGCUCAUCUUUAAAUCACUGAAAUAGGAAUGAAAGAAGUUGGUAGACCUCAGCAUAUGGCUUCAGUUCUCCAUUGCCAAUGUCCUGCAUAUUUAAUCCCUUCACUGCUGCUGAUUACACCAGAAAGUGCAGGUACUGAUCGUUAGUUAUGUUUACCUUUCAGAAAAUAACAGCAGCUAAACGCUAACUCAGUUGAGAGAGACUUUUCACACCAGACUUGUUUUUCAUCUCCUCCUGUUCUGCACCCCUGAAGACCAUACAGAAAAUUCUCCGGAUUAAAGUUUAACUGCUCUAGAUACUUAGUCCUCAUGGAACAGGUUUUUUGUUUGAGAUAUUCUUGAACAUUUUCAAAACCACCAAACUGUGACAAUGAGAAUUUCAUUUGUGAGCAAUAGGAAGAAAAACUUUGGUCAUUAAAUUGUUCUUAAUAAAGGUCCUGUAAAAAUUUUACUAAAAAAUACUAAGAAGGAAAAAUAACUCCUGAGCCCAGAAACAGUAUUAAUCACCAUAAAGCUUCCACAAUACCAUUUAAGCCAUUUUCAGCAUCAGCUAUUCUUGCCUGUUAAUUUAUCUAUCAAAUCUUUUUUGUAAGUGGUUCCUCUAACUGGAUUUUUUUCCAAUUGAAAUUAGCAUUAUUCCCUUUGUGGGAUUUACUAAUCAAAGAAACAUGUAAUUGAAAGAAUAUUUUAGAUCAGUUUUUGUCCAUGCCUGAUCAACUCUGAUGGAUUCCAUUCUACAGCCAACUGCUGCCUACAGUAACAUCCUCUUGCAGGAACUUACACAAGUGAAAUGGAAAACAGAAAAGUGUUAGAGUUUGUUACCAAAGAUUACUUUUUUUCUGAUAGUAUGUUCUUGAAUCAUGAAAACUAAGUUUUCAAAUUACAUAUUUGAAAGGAAACCUAGAUCAGCAUGCCCUUUAGUCUAGAGUCAGAAAUUAAUAAUGCCUUUCUUUUUACCUCUUUAAAUUUAACUCUAAAAUUGCAGACUACUUUUAAGCCUUUACCUUGAGAGGUGAAACCAGGGUUAUUUUAAUUUGAAAUUAUUUUGUGGUUUUAAAGAACCAAUGAAAUGAGUAGAGCUGAGUACUUCAGCUGUCUGGGAAUGACAAAUUGCAAUGGACUGGAAUACCCUUGGAUUAGUUGUGGGUUCUUCAGAGUUGUGAUGUGGGCAUCAAAUGGCAAGGAUUAGUUUCAGCAAUAGUGACAUCACGUACUAAAUGUGUCCAGGGAAGACUCCAGGGGUUGGUGUGGCACAACGCAUUAGGCAUUUCAGCAAGCAAGAAGCUGGGGAAGACUUUAUGACUUGACCAUAUGAAACGAUCAUUACUUAAUCUCCAUUAUCUCCUUUAAGUUCAAAUUAAGCCUCUAAUUGAGAGCAGGGGCAAUAGGAAUAUUUCUUUUUUAAAUCUUCCUGAAAUCUCAUGCAUUUUAAGAUGAUUUAUUUGGGACUCUGGCUGAAGCGUGCCAAAAGACAGCGUAGGUGCUACAAUGUUGAGCACUGUGUUGUCUGAGGGAUUGAGCCCAAGCUUUGGACAUGUCAGACAAUUCAAAAGUUUUUCCUUCGCUAAGUAAUCCUAAGAAGAGAUAAUGUUUGCAAGCUAAGCAAAUUUCAGAAAGAUACAUUAAAAAAGAAAUAGCAACUACAAAGGGUGUUUUAAAAAGUCUGUGACAUAGUGAAGAUGACAAAAAACUGUUCUGCCAGAACACAUUCUCUAAGAGACUAAAAAUACGUCAGGAAAAAGCCUGUCAACAGUGUAACAAGUCAUAAAGUUCAUUAAGCUAAUAAUUACACUUGUUAAAAAAAAAAAAAAAGAUUUUGUUGCUCUCAAGCAGAAAUGCUUGUAGAAAUAAUAUUGUAAUGUCACAGGAGUGUUACUUAUCAACAGUACACAGCAACACGUGUGGCAAAUACCAUAGUAUACAGGGGAGCGCAGUAUAGCAGUAUGUUACAUGAGAAAAAGUGGGUGGUGGGAGUCUGCCUU